rnacentral:lncRNA from 1 species
AACUUUUAAGCUUUCCUAUUACAAUUUGGAUAUGCUUUACAAGCUCAAUCACUAUAUGAUGUAGGCAACUUGAUACUCCUUAAGUCCAUUCACCAAACUGAAGGAUGAGUUGUUUGAAUUCUUGAAGAGACGCUUAAUUCUGAUUUAAAGUUCUACCAUUUGAAGACGAAUUUGUAACUGAAAUGUUCCUUGUUCCAAUUAUGGUGGGUCUUUAACUUUCAGAAGCUACUGCUUUUAAUUCUCUUCAUUCUUUUACUAUUUUCAUUUGCCAUAUACGAAUCCAAGUUGCUUACUCUUUGUUAUAUUUGAUUUCAUUCCUAUGUAAGGUUUUCAUAACAUACUUUUUAACUUAGUGUGUAAGCUGAAGUUUUUUUGUUCGCACUGUCUUUUCUACUCUUCCUCUUCACGCUUAUCCAGAUGUGGUGAAAGGUAUAUGGGCAAAGGAUUAUGCUGAGAUAAACUUAACAUCAUCCUGGAUAAGGUGAGAAACAAGAGAACACCAAUCUGGUGGUUUAAUUUUUUUAAUAUUUCAUAUAUCCUAUUGAGUGAAUUAGAUCGUCUGAUGUGGAGAUACACAAGUGAUACAAAUACUUGAAAUAGGUUGCUAAAACAUAGGUUCUCUAUUAGGGUAAUAGUGACCCAACAUUCUCUCUCUCUCUCUCUCCGUGUAUAUAUAUAUAUAUAUAUAUAUCUUCAAUCCCUCAUUAACGGUCAUCUCCCUUCUCAUCUUCCUUGUGCCAUCACCGGCGGUCACCGAAAUCACAAGUAAGUUUUUUUCGCUCUAUAUUUUUUUUUCUCUCUCCUUUCCUCUCUAUUUCCUCCUUCCCUUCCACCUUUCUUUUCCCCCUUCUUCUUUACACCCCUCACUGCCCCUUUUUUCACCUCCCCCCACCCUCAAAUUUGCCCCUAUUUUCUUCCCCUCCCUCGCUCUUUCUCCAUUUUCUCAUUCCAUAUUCUUUCAUUUUUCUGUCCAUCCCCAGUUCGCCCCGCUUUCUUCAAGAUUGCGACGUCCCAGAUCUGGGCUAAGGAGCAUCACCUCCGCUCUCUAGAUAUCCUCUUUUUCCCUCUUAGAGCGGGCCCGACGGUCGUAUGCAGACACCAACUCGACAGCGAUGACCAGCGGCGGCAGAGGCAUGUGGCGGAGUGUGGAAGGACAGAAAUUGACACAGGCGGGUGUAAUAACAAUGUUUUGACAUCCAAAUCGGUAAUCCAGGUUCUGAUCACCCAGAGUGGGUACCUCCAGAUAUCCUGUCUCCCCUUUGUUUUCCUUUCUAGUAAGUUGCAUAAUUGCAUUAGUUAGUUUUAGUACAAUGCCUAUUUACUUUUCUGCAAUAUUGUUUGGCUCAUUAGCUUUAGUAGAAUUCUUAUUUUCCCGCUUGAAGUUUUAUUUUGGUUCUUAAGCUUUCUAAUUUGUAGCUUAUAUUUUUUUGUUUAUGCUAUUUGAUAUUUUAGUGUUAGCUGUGAGCAUGUAAUUUUUGCCUUAUGUGAAUUACUCCCAUAAAAUACAAGAAAAAUAAAUUUUUCUAUUAAUUACAAUAUUGUAGGAUUUUGUGAGAAUUUGCGCUAAUUGUUUGCAUUUCUGUGCAUGUUUAUUUCUAUUUAAAUCAUGAAAAGUACAAAAAAAAAGCAUCAUGCAUCACAUUUAGGUUAUUCUACAGUUCCAGGAUUAAUUAAUCAGUUAUUUGUUUUGUUAAAAUUGAAAAGCACAAAAUUGGUUCAUUUUUACAAUUAUUGUCUUUAAUUUUAGAUUGUUGAUGUUUCUCUUUUAAUUUAGGAUCAGAUAAUGUUUAUAAAUUUUGCACUUUGAUAAUUAGUUUAAUUUCACAACUCGGACUAAUUUGGGGUAAUUUAUAUUUUUUAUUAAUUUAGGAAGAAGAAAAAGAAAAAGGAAAAAAAUUGAAAAGGAAAAGGAAUUAAUUAUAAAACAAAGAGAAGGAAAGUUUGAAUUUGUUUUAAAACCCAAAAUUGGGCCAAUUUGGUGGAAACCCAAACUAUUCUGUGGCCCAGGGCAACCAGGUCCAAACCUCAUACCCGGUCCAAAGCCUUCAGUCCAUGAGACCCUGAAACGACGUAGUAUAGGAGGAAUACUACGUCAUUUUGAGUUCGUUAGUGUUAAAUUAUUCCUGGUCCUUCAUUUUAUAUGAUCUAAUGGCCCUAAAGACUUCCCCCAUUUUAAUUAAAAUUGUCCAAACGCUUCAUAUUAACCUAGGAUCUCUGCUCUUCAUCUCCCUCACACCCUGUAUCUCACCACUGUUCGCCGCCCACCAGAAAUCGCCAGCGACAACGGUUGACCUCAAAACCCCUUAAAAUCUUAACCAUGUAACCUCUGGUGCACCUCCAUUCCAAAUCCACCCUUGUUUUCUCUCCCAAACCACCCAUUCUCUCCAGAUCAGAGAUCGAAGUUAGCACUGAAAAUCCUUUCACCCUUUUUCUUCUGAUUUUCGCCUACUCUAGUUUCUUUUUGGUGUUAAAACGUGUGAAUCAACCAGUUUCGAUGUGAAAAAGCCAAUUGGUUGAGGGAUCGAUCUGUGUAUGGUGUCCAAGUUUGGUCAACAGUCUCUGAUAGGCCCUUAUCUCAAUUUCCUCUUCGUUCUUGACUCGUGAUGGGGAUUGUGACAAAGAGCACAAGCCAUGGAAGAAAUUCCGGCUAGUGCUCAAUGUUACAGUUCACACCAUGUGGUUGAGAUUCUUCACGCCGGAUGCCAUCAUCUGUGAGCCAUCAAUCUAGCCGGUACUUUUCUUCUUCUUCAUCUCAGUCGGGUUUAGAAAUCGCAGGUUUUUCAGUCGUUUAAUUAGGUAAUAAUAAUAGGUUAAGAAGCAAUAAAUUCUCUGUUAGCAUUUGUUAAUUUUCCUUUUUCCUUUUUACUUCUUUUUUUAUUAUUAUUCUUAUUCUGCUUCGUUAAGAAGAUCUCAUGUUACUAGAAUUCAGAAAUGAGUUAUUUUGGUUUUCUUAUUUUUCUUGUGAAUUUAUUGGUUUAGACUUGAACUUGGGUUUGCUAGUAGCCCAAAAAACUGGUUGAAGUUCAUUUGGUGCAGAAGCCCAAAGACAUUUGGACGGUUUGAUCCAAUGUCUAUGUUAAAGUAAUUACCAGCCUUAUAAAGGGUAGUUUAGAAAAUUUAAUAAGGGGAAUCUUACUUAAACCGCUUAGAAAAUUUCCAAGAAGGUGGGAUUGGGGGUAGAUUAACAAACAGAUUUUAACUACAGGGUCCAAAAUAAAAAAAUAAAAAUUGGGGAAAGGGUAAAUGGUGAAGUAUAGAAUCAGAUUUUGUUGCCCUAGGAGCUGGUUAUAUAAGGUUCAUUUUCUUUCAUUUAUAAGCAGAGAUUAGAGACCUGAAAAGGGAGCAAACGGUUGAAACCAUACACAUUGAUAUAAGUCCCAAAAUUAGAAAGAAAAAAAGAUACAAAAAAAUCAUCAAGUACAGUUCUAUUGUAGCCGGUUUGUUGAUAUUUCUUGGGUUUUAAAAGCUAGGGUAAUUUGUUGUUUACUUCUGGGUUCCAAAACAUGAAAAGCUGAUUGAUGAACUGAUGUUGGUUGUUGUUUUAAGAUCUGCUGAGAUUGUUAGUUCUUUGCUGAAUUAUUGUGACUAUUUUGGUUGUUUCAGGUAUGUUUCAAACUUUGAAAGUGCAAAAUGAAGUUGGAGAUGCAAUGUGUUUAAAUGAAAUUAGGCUUCCCUUCCAGAUUUUCUCUUCUUUUGUUUAGCAUUACAUGUAUUAAUUAGUUUGAUAGUCAAAGUUUCUAGUUGUAAUUAAUGUCAACAUCAACACCCUAUUCCCUAGUAAGAUUCAGAAUUCGAGUGUUAAAAAUCUAAAUCUGUACAGUAUUCUAUUUUGGAACUGUGUUAAACUAUGGUUGGUAAGGCUGCCAUAUGAGUCUAGGCAGCUGAAUAUUUUUGACAUGUUUGGCAUGAAAUCAAUGAAUAUUCAUGCUUAAAGGAAUGGAAUUAGACAG